AAAAAAAAUAAUAGAAGAGAAAAGGGUGUAGUAGCACCCGAUUCUCAUUUUCACAAAAAGACAAAGGGUUGUCUCUUCCUUUUCUCUCCACCACCUCCGGCCAGCUGCUUCCGGCGACGUUCAAGAGAGUCUUCCGGCCGGCAAGGUACUCUCCUCUCUAAGACCACACACAUGCUUCAAUUUCUUACAAGAAAAUAGAAGAUUAAGAUUCAAGUGUGGGUUUUGAAUCAACUCUAGAGAAGAGUUUGAUUUCUUGAAUUGAAGACACUAACAAGCUUCAAGGUGAGUCUAGUUUCGGUACUAGGGUUGCGGAUCAGGAGGAGCAUGCGUGACAUGGAUAGGCCCCUGGAGAGUAAUAGGACUAGAUGGUUCUAGAAUUUGAUUAUGUUACUAGUAUUUUGUCAUACUUGUUUUCCUUGAUUGAGAUAUGUUGUGUGAUACCUCAAUUCAAUGGUUGGAUGGACGGUUGGGAGGGUACUCCAUGUUAUCGGGACUCCCGAACCGGGUUUGUGGACUUCGUGUCUUGACAAUUGAUUAUGCAUGCAGAAUUGCUCUUUACAUUGGUUGUUUGAUUAUACAUGA